AAGUCGUAACAAGGUCUCCGUUGGUGAACCAGCGGAGGGAUCAUUACCGAAGUUACCCUUCAAAACCCAAUUGUGAACCCUACCCCUGCCGCGUUGUCUCGGCGGGAGGUCUGGGGCGGGCCCGGCCCGCCCCGGCCCCGCCGGCAGCGCCGAACUCUGUAUCUGCGAAGCGUACUGCACUGUCUGAUUCAGAUUUUUUAAAUAAGUCAAAACUUUCAACAACGGAUCUCUUGGUUCUGGCAUCGAUGAAGAACGCAGCGAAAUGCGAUAAGUAAUGUGAAUUGCAGAAUUCAGUGAAUCAUCGAAUCUUUGAACGCACAUUGCGCCCGGCAGCAAUCUGCCGGGCAUGCCUGUCCGAGCGUCAUUUCUCCCUCGAGCGCGGUCGUCCCUCCGGGCCGGCCGCCGCCCGGUGUUGGGCCCUACGGGCGCGAGCCCGCAGACCCCUAAAUGAAGUGGCGGCCCCGCCGCGGCGCCCCUGCGUAGUAGUUCUCUCUCGCAUCGGGCCCGGCUACGGCCAGCCGUCGAACCCAACUUUCUAUGGUUUGACCUCGGAUCAGGUAGGGAUACCCGCUGAACUUAA
rnacentral:rRNA from 1 species